UAUAUUCUCCGCUGGGGGGGGAUGAGAAUCCCCGAUCGGGGUUCGACAACUGGCAACGCCAGUUGGACAGACCGCGAGCCUGCGAGCGGGCUGCCCCGCAGGGGCGAGCGAAGCGAGUCAAUCCCCCCUCACUGCCA
rnacentral:sRNA from 3 species